CGCGCGCGAGCCUGACGCGGGGCAGCUGCAGUUCCCGGAGGUGGAGGCGCGACGGGCGGCGCCGCAGGGACCCAGAGGACACCAGUGCGUGACACCGGAGGCCUCCAGGCCAGGACUGCUCUCUGGCGGUGCUGCAAAGCUGGGUCUUUGUCUGGGAUUCCGACGGCCCACCGGCGUGUGGAACGAAUGCCCUUCCUCUCCCUGGAGCUUCUUAUCCUCAGACACAGUCUUGCUUGGCUGGCGAGAUCCUCACCUGGGGGUCGCAAACGACGGGGCUCCUCCCCCAGGCUUACCCGCCCCUUGACGCUGUCUGGACGGGUCCUCGCCAAACCCUGCUAACGGCUCUCCUUGCUGUUGAACUGUAGGUUCGUCCCUCGAUUCACCCGCAAAGAACCAAGCUCGCUCCUGCCCUGGACUCCCACACUCCUCGCGCCACCUCCCGGACCUGUAGAGCUGCAGACAAGCCAGGCGGCUCUCGAACCCUGACAGCUAAGUCGCUAAGGCCGCAGUGAUCGCUAGCUCUCACUACUGCUUUUCCUUCCUUUACUCUUGCUUUGUCGGCCUCUUGUGCCGUCUCUGCUGUUGUAAGCGAACCUCUUUCUCUGAUUGAUCACUUCUUUGUCCUCACUGGGCCUAGUCAUUCCCCUUCUAAUGAGUGAACCAAGGCCUUCCUUUUGGCGAGCAAUAGCCUUUUACUCGGAUACGCUGGAAGCCCUUAAAAACUACCGCAUCCCGCUCGAAGCGUACACCAACCCCCAGAAGGCCUGGGAGUUCCUGCGGGAAGUCAUCCUGGACGAGUUCCUGCAAGGCACCUAUCAGGACUACUCCCCCUCCGAGAUCGCCUUUUACCUAGGCAGGGACCCCUUCUCGGAGCUUCCCUCGGAGGGAAGCCCUUCCUUUCCUUAGCUCCCUGACUCUCUCCUCUUGCCCUCAGAUCACACACAAGCCUCACACUUAGCGACGAUGGCCCCCUAUCUCUGGAUCUUACUGCUCUGGACCAGUCAGCAUUGCCCGGUCUUAGAUGGGCCAGGCGCCUCUCUGCGACGGACUCAGCCCCAUGCAGAGGCAACAAACAACAGUCCUUGCUGGAUUCGUGGCCUUAUGCCGGUCUCCAGCACUUCGGGGCUGCCAUGGCGGGCCUCUCCCUCACGCGGGGCAGACUGGGCAGGGCUUCAGAAGUUCAUAGAUGAGAUGCGGAACGUGAGCUUUGUGCUCUCUGAGUACACGAUCCCUAAGUGCGGGGCAGCGAAGUGGCCGGGGGUCUCUUCUGGGGACGAGAGAGGCCAAGAAAAACCCUUUUCUUUCUACCAGUCAAAACCUGAAGGGCGAUAUGCUGACCUCAAAAUGAGUCAGAGGCGCCUCCCCUUAGCCCGGCAGCCUAGCGGCAGAUGCACCGAUGAGGGGGGUCCUCAGGUCUGGGGUGAAUACGUCUGGGUGGCUCCCCUGUUAGGAGUCCCUAGCCGGCAGGUGCUGCGCUGCCGGGAGCAGUCUGACCGCCCGGACUCUCUGUGGCUGGAUCUGAUUAGACACACGGGCGGGCUGCCUCCCCUAGUCUGCAAACAAGUCACAGUGCUACAGUGUACUGACUGGUUUGCCACCAAGGACAGAGGGGACCGGGGUCUAGAUGGCCGCUCCUAGUGGCACCAGUGGCUACGUGGACGGAGCCUGUGGCCCUGGCCAGCCGCCAGCCGGGUGGGGAGGUGCGCCUGAGGCUCGGUCCGGCCCAGGGUCAGAGGAUCAAAACCCGCUUUCCCUGCUAAUUUCCCUUGCUGGUCUGUGGCUGGACUAGGGCAGUCUUUCACUGGUAGAACCACUUAAACUUCUCUUUGUCCAGUAGUGGGAACAGACGGUGUCGUCUGGCAGAUAGAAGCCCUUAGGAACUAUACCCAGCGGCCCUGCACGGUGCUGUCCAGAGUGUCACUCUCAGACAUUCUGGAAGGAUCCAGACGAGAAAAGCAGUGCUCCAGAAGCCAACGGCUUUGGGGCAGGCGAAAGAGCUCGCUUGGCUAGCAUGCUGCUUCGCAUCCCAGGCUCAGGCCUGGCCCCCAACACGUUGAAGGAAGCUUCGGUGCUGUGGUCUCUCUCGCUUUCUCUGUGGUCUCUUUCACUCUGCCUUUCUGCUUCUGUGUCUAUUUCAAGAAGAAUCAAAUGGCUUUCGAUGUCCUUCUGCCGCCCGAGGUGGGGCCUGUGCUGUUUAGUCUGAAUGCUGUGUGUAUGUGCCCAGUUUCCCCCAGUGUCUCCUCUCCCUGCAGGAUGUGCUGACUAACAGCCGCGUCGCCUUCACUGACUUAAGUCUUGGCUGGGAGGCCGCUGGGCCGGGUCACCAAGCGCCUCUCUGCUCUCACCGGUCACUGUCAUUGGACUUGGCAUAACACCCUCUGUCUAAAUACCCGUGUCUCUCUCUCUGAUGACUCAGUGCACGUUCCCGAGAUGUAAGCCUCCUGCCACCCCAGGUACUCAAAGUACACUGAGGUGGUAGCCUGUCAUUGCCAGGACUUGGCCCCUGCUCUGUGGCAUGGUCCAGCCUGAAGAAGCUUUAGAAGACAGACCGUGGCCCAUAUUCAAAGACCUUCCUUGCUGUCUCGCAGAAAGGGGGGUGCAAAGGGCUACACUCGACCAGCUCGCCCAAAGCACGGCUGUGCAGUAGGCAAGGCUGACUGCACUCCCCGGUACCUUCUGUUCUAUAUUCUUGUGUCUUGUUUUCUUGAUACUAUACAUUUCUCGGUGUAUCCUGUUUUCCUGGUUCUGAUAAUUAUCUUGUUUUAUAAUGUAUAUUGAACCAACAGUAAGUCUCUUAAGUGAACCAUUAAGAACAAACACCAUCAUCCUCCCAAGUCAUGAGGCAAAUCAGACACAGAUGUGAAGCCAGAACAUGUAUUUCCAAAGCUGUAAGACUUCCUGGAAGCCUCAGUGCAGACUUUCUCUGUCUCUUUGUGGUUGGCUUCUCUCUGCCUCCUGCCCACUGUUCUAUUGUUGGCAAUUUUUCUAAUAAAUAUCUCCUUUGCUUCCUUCA